rnacentral:rRNA from 1 species
GACGAACGCUGGCGGCGUGCUUAACACAUGCAAGUCGAACGACGUGGCGAACGGGUGAGUAAUACGUGGGUAACCUGCCCUCCUUUUUGGGAUAAGCCGUGGAAACAGGGUAUAAUACCGAAUAAAGGGGGAUGGGCUCGCGGCUUAUCGGCUUGUUGGUGGGGUGAGGGCCUAACCAGGCGGUGACGGGUAGCCGGACUGAGAGGGGGACCGGCCACAGGGGGACUGAGAUACGGCCCAGGUGCCGACGGGAGGGAGCAGUGGGGGAUAUGGCAGAAUGGGCGAAAGACUGAUGCCGCGACGCUGCGUGGGGUAUUAAGGUUGUCGGGUUGUAAAAGUCUUGCGCUAGCGAACCGGUACGUGGAGAAGAAGCGCCGGCUAACUACGUGCCAGCCGCCGCGGUAAUUC